rnacentral:rRNA from 1 species
AGGGUUGUGAGGUUAAGUAACUAAGCGUACAUGGUGAAUGCCUAGAUAGUCAGUGGCGAUGAAGGACGUACUAAUCUGCGAAAAGCGUCGGUAAACGGAUAAGACGUGUUAUUAACCGGCGAUUUCCGAAUGGGAAAACCCGAUAUAAAAUAUCUUUAUAUCAUUAUUAAGUAAAUUCAUAGCUUAAUAAAGCUAACCAGGAGAACUGAAACAUCUAAGUAUCCUGAGGAAAAGAAAUCAACCGAGAUUCCCUUAGUAGUGGCGAGCGAACAGGGACCAGCCUAUAAGCUAUUUAUCAGUUAAUAAAUUAGAAAAAUAUUCUGGAAUAGAAUAGCAAUAAAAGGUGAUAGCCCUCUAUUCAAAAAUUUAUUUUCUGUGAGCUUAAAAAGUAGGACGGGACACGUGGUAUCCUGUCUGAAGAUGGGGGGACCAUCCUCCAAGGCUAAAUACUCCUGACAAGA